UUGCGAGUUAUUCAACAAGUUGUUGGAGGAGCAACUUGUUGCCGCUGCUGCUGACACACUAUACAUGUAUGAGUAUAAGAGCAACUACUUGUCUUUCUUUCGGACUAAUGUGCGACCCAGCUCUCUCUCCAUGUGACUCUUCUUCAUCAGGAUAAUUGCGGGAAAGCAACACCAUGUCACAUCAAUUCGUUCUGUCGCAAGCAAUUUCUGUAUUUACUGUCUCUCU